UCCGAGUUGUCCCCGGCAGUCCUCUUAGAGUCCCCGGCAUUACCCGCUGGCAACUAAGAGCAGGGGUUGCGCUCGUUGCGGCACUUAAGCCAACACCUCACGGCACGAGCUGACGACAGCCAUGCAGCAUCUGUGCACGCUCCCUCGCGGGUCAUCCCGGUUUCCCGGUCUUACCACGUGCAUGUCAAGCCCAGGUAAGGUUCUUCGCGUUGCGUCGAAUUAAACCACACGCUCCGCUGCUUGUGCGGGCCCCCGUCAAUUUCUUUGAGUUUUAGCCUUGCGGCCGUACUCCCCAGGCGGGGCACUUAAUGCGUUUGCUGCGGCACGGAACUCGUGGAAUGAGCCCCACACCUAGUGCCCAACGUUUACGGCAUGGACUAC
rnacentral:misc_RNA from 1 species